AAAUUGAAGAGUUUGAUCAUGGCUCAGAUUGAACGCUGGCGGCAGGCCUAACACAUGCAAGUCGAACGGUAACAGGAAGCAGCUUGCUGCUUCGCUGACGAGUGGCGGACGGGUGAGUAAUGUCUGGGAAACUGCCUGAUGGAGGGGGAUAACUACUGGAAACGGUGGCUAAUACCGCAUAACGUCGCAAGACCAAAGAGGGGGACCUUCGGGCCUCUUGCCAUCAGAUGUGCCCAGAUGGGAUUAGCUUGUUGGUGAGGUAACGGCUCACCAAGGCGACGAUCCCUAGCUGGUCUGAGAGGAUGACCAGCCACACUGGAACUGAGACACGGUCCAGACUCCUACGGGAGGCAGCAGUGGGGAAUAUUGCACAAUGGGCGCAAGCCUGAUGCAGCCAUGCCGCGUGUAUGAAGAAGGCCUUCGGGUUGUAAAGUACUUUCAGCGGGGAGGAAGGUGUUGCGGUUAAUAACCGCAGCAAUUGACGUUACCCGCAGAAGAAGCACCGGCUAACUCCGUGCCAGCAGCCGCGGUAAUACGGAGGGUGCAAGCGUUAAUCGGAAUUACUGGGCGUAAAGCGCACGCAGGCGGUCUGUCAAGUCGGAUGUGAAAUCCCCGGGCUCAACCUGGGAACUGCAUUCGAAACUGGCAGGCUUGAGUCUUGUAGAGGGGGGUAGAAUUCCAGGUGUAGC
rnacentral:rRNA from 1 species